CAUAGCCUCCUAUAUAACUUUAUAGAGGAGGCUAUGGGUAAGUGCUGUGACCAAAUGUCAAGUAGUCAAAUGCCAGAGACGUAGUAAGUUCCCAGACCUCUGCUCCAUGUCAGCGUGGCGUGAAAACUUUUGACCCCCUCUCCAACUGUACUUUACGGCCGCUUUCAAAGAACUGAUCCAAAGCAACAGAGGAAUGAAUGAGCUGGUUUCUCCCUUGCACAACGCUGUGAUGAGUGCCAGUGUCUACGCCAACACCAGGGAUCACAUCAGCAUGGGACAUGCAACAAGGGCGUUUACAGAUUGGGCCGGUAUCUCCAGUGUUGAUCUUACGAGUCGCAACGGAUGUUUGACGUAAAGUGUGGUCACCAGUGUUAAUUACGUCACAGGACAGCUAAUUCAAUUAUUAUGAAAAUAUGUGCUUGUUGCCCCCUUAUGGUGCAUCCAAGAAGAUUCGUGCCUCGGAAAUUGCUGCAAAUGCUCGACAUUGGUUCCUUUAUGAAAAUUUCUUUACCGUUGCUCUGUCACGAGGCGUCGAACCGGUGACCUCUGGAACCGCAGCGCGCAGUGCCAACCACUACGCCACAAUGAGCAUGCAGUCAAGAAUGCUAACGGCAAGCCAUUUAUAUAUACCAUAUACCAUUUGACGGACCUCGGAGCGCCACAGCUCGGCGCAUUUUCGUCAUGAUUAGCGAGAUGGCUUGACGAGCAUGCGUGGGGCCCGCUCUAGAGGUCGUCGUUUCACAUGUUAAAGAGCACCGCCUCCUUGGAGCCUGGUCUUUCUUGCACGUACGCCUAUUAGACUUGCGAUUCGGGAAAGCACGAAAGUCACUUUGCUCGCUGCUGCAGCCGCACUUCCGAAAAGAACAUGCUGCUCACUCGAAGAAGUAAGAAUUGUGAUGGUUUGCGCCCAUCUUGUGCACACUUGUGCGUUCGUUUUGUGCACCUUUCUUUCUGUUUAUACGGCGCGCUUUAAGUGACGAGGUGUGGCAGUUGUUAGUCCACGCUCGUAGUGUGUGUUCAUUUUGUGCGUGCCUUCUGCUUGAGGUGCACGCUGGAAGGUUUGAGCUGCUGCUGCUUGCCGUU